UAGAAUUGACGGGGCCCGCACAAGCGGUGGAGCAUGUGGUUAAUUCGAAGCAACGCGAAGAACCUUACCAGGUCUUGACAUCCCGAUGCUAUUCUAGAGAUAGAAAGUUACUUCGGUACAUCGGUGACAGGUGGUGCAUGGUUGUCGUCAGCUCGUGUCGUGAGAUGUUGGGUUAAGUCCCGCAACGAGCGCAACCCCUAUUGUUAGUUGCCAUCAUUCAGUUGGGCACUCUAGCGAGACUGCCGGUAAUAAACCGGAGGAAGUGGGGAUGACGUCAAAUCAUCAUGCCCCUUAUGACCUGGGCUACACACGUGCUACAAUGGUUGGUACAACGAGUUGCGAGUCGGUGACGGCGAGCUAAUCUCUUAAAGCCAAUCUCAGUUCGGAUUGUAGGCUGCAACUCGCCUACAUGAAGUCGGAAUCGCUAGUAAUCGCGGAUCAGCACGCCGCGGUGAAUACGUUCCCGGGUCUU
rnacentral:rRNA from 1 species